rnacentral:rRNA from 1 species
UACGUAGGUGGCAAGCGUUGUCCGGAAUUACUGGGUGUAAAGGGAGCGCAGGCGGGAAGCCAAGUCAGCUGUGAAAACUACGGGCUUAACUUGUAGACUGCAGUUGAAACUGGUUUUCUUGAGUGAAGUAGAGGUUGGCGGAAUCCCGAGUGUAGCGGUGAAAUGCGUAGAUAUUCGGAGGAACACCGGUGGCGAAGGCGGCCAACUGGGCUUUAACUGACGCUGAGGCUCGAAAGUGUGGGGAGCAAACAGG